GUCGGCUGGCGCGCCACGUUCGGCGUGGUCGCGGUGAUCGGCCUGGUCGCGAUGGCCGCGAUCCAGAAGCUGGUGCCGUUCCAGGGCAAGCCC
rnacentral:tRNA from 1 species